rnacentral:rRNA from 1 species
GACGAACGCUGGCGGCGUGCUUAACACAUGCAAGUCGAACGGAAAGGCCCUGCUUUUGUGGGGUGCUCGAGUGGCGAACGGGUGAGUAACACGUGAGUAACCUGCCCUUGACUUUGGGAUAACUUCAGGAAACUGGGGCUAAUACCGGAUAGGAGCUCCUGCUGCAUGGUGGGGGUUGGAAAGUUUCGGCGGUUGGGGAUGGACUCGCGGCUUAUCAGCUUGUUGGUGGGGUAGUGGCUUACCAAGGCUUUGACGGGUAGCCGGCCUGAGAGGGUGACCGGCCACAUUGGGACUGAGAUACGGCCCAGACUCCAACGGGAGGCAGCAGGCGGGAAUAUUGCACAAUGGGCGGAAGCCUGAUGCAGCAACGCCGCGUGCGGGAAGACGGCCUUCGGGUUGUAAACCGCUUUCGCCUGUGACGAAGCGUGAGUGACGGUAAUGGGUAAAGAAGCACCGGCUAACUACGUG